AUUGAACGCUGGCGGCAUGCUUUACACAUGCAAGUCGAACGGCAGCGGGGUAGUGCUUGCACUACUGCCGGCGAGUGGCGAACGGGUGAGUAAUAUAUCGGAACGUACCGAGUAAUGGGGGAUAACCAAUCGAAAGAUUGGCUAAUACCGCAUACGUCCUGAGGGAGAAAGCGGGGGAUCGCAAGACCUCGCGUUAUUCGAGCGGCCGAUAACUGAUUAGCUAGUUGGUGGGGUAAAGGCCUACCAAGGCGACGAUCAGUAGCGGGUCUGAGAGGACGAUCCGCCACACUGGGACUGUGACACGGCCCAGACUCCUACGGGAGGCAGCAGUGGGGAAUUUUGGACAAUGGGGGCAACCCUGAUCCAGCCAUGCCGCGUGUAUGAAGAAGGCCUUCGGGUUGUAAAGUACUUUUGUUAGGGAAGAAAAGGGAAGUGCUAAUACCACUUUUUGCUGACGGUACCUAAAGAAUAAGCACCGGCUAACUACGUG
rnacentral:rRNA from 1 species